rnacentral:lncRNA from 1 species
CUUGAGCUAAGUUUACCCAAAUGCACUAAAUAAUAAGGGUGUGGUGCGACCUAAUCAUACAAAAUUAAUGUUUGAAGAUUAGGAGCUUACGGAAACAUAAGAGCAAGUUGGAAUGAUGGAAAGGGUGUGGUUGUGAGCGUGAGUAAAGGCGGCGGCGCAGAGAUCAGCGGCAAGGCCUAGCCCCCUCUUUCUGGGCGGCACAUACGUAUGAGUUAUGUCGAUUACUUUACUGCCUCUUUCUGUGGCCACAAUCACUGGACAAGAGGAUCUGGGGGGAAGAGGAGCCCGAGCCUCAGGCGGAUGGGUGGCGGAUCGGCGGAUUCAGGCGGCGGCGGAUGGGUAGGGAUUCGGGCGGAUGCGUCGGAGAAAUGAAAAUAGACGUUCGAUUUUGAUUAGGGUUGCAGCGAAAUGAAAAAGAAAACAUAAUUU